rnacentral:rRNA from 1 species
UAAUACCCAAUCCUGACACAGGGAGGUAGUGACAAGAAAUAACAAUACAGGGCUAAUGUCUUGUAAUUGGAAUGAUGGUGACCCAAACCCUCACCAGAGUAGCAAUUGUUUUGCAAGUCUGGUGCCAGCAGCCGCGGUAAUUCCAGCUCCAAUAGCGUAUAUUAAACUUGUUGCAGUUAAAAAGCUCGUAGUUGAAUUUUAGCGUGUUCGAGUUUGCCAUUCGUUUGGCUUUUUCGAGUUCGCUUUUGGGUUUUCCCUUUUUACUUUGAGAAAAUUAGAGUGUUUCAAGCAGACUUUUGUCUUGAAUACUUCAGCAUGGAAUAAUAGAGUAGGACUUUGGUUCUAUUUUGUUGGUUAUUGAACCUUAGUAAUGGUUAAUAGGAACGGUUGGGGGCAU